rnacentral:rRNA from 1 species
GUGCCAGCAGCCGCGGUAAUACGUAGGUGGCAAGCGUUAUCCGGAAUUAUUGGGCGUAAAGCGCGCGCAGGUGGUUUCUUAAGUCUGAUGUGAAAGCCCACGGCUCAACCGUGGAGGGUCAUUGGAAACUGGGAGACUUGAGUGCAGAAGAGGAAAGUGGAAUUCCAUGUGUAGCGGUGAAAUGCGUAGAGAUAUGGAGGAACACCAGUGGCGAAGGCGACUUUCUGGUCUGUAACUGACACUGAGGCGCGAAAGCGUGGGGAGCAAACAGGAUUAGAUACCCUGGGUAGUCC